AUGACUGAUGAGGGAAGAAAGGUCCUGCAUGAGGAUAAAGAGCCGUUCUUGUAGCCAAGGAUGACUUGCCUGCAGCCUCCCAAAGGCCUCUGCAACAUAUAUAUACAGGCAGAGCUCGCUAGGUAGCUUGCUAGGGAUAGCUAGGGUUUAAGAAUCCUGGUGCUUGGUUAGCUAAGCUAGCUAACUUCCUAAGGUUUAAUUAAGAAUCCUUGUGUGGUAUACAGGCAGUCUCCUUGGCUAUCGAGACAGGUUCUUUUCUCUCAUGCUGGACCUCUUCUUCCAUGGGAUCU
rnacentral:pre_miRNA from 1 species